rnacentral:rRNA from 1 species
GAUGAACGCUGGCGGCGUGCCUAAUACAUGCAAGUCGAGCGAACAGACGAGGAGCUUGCUCCUCUGACGUUAGCGGCGGACGGGUGAGUAACACGUGGAUAACCUACCUAUAAGACUGGGAUAACUUCGGGAAACCGGAGCUAAUACCGGAAAAUAUAUUGAACCGCAUGGUUCAAUAGUGAAAGACGGUUUUGCUGUCACUUAUAGAUGGAUCCGCGCCGCAUUAGCUAGUUGGUAAGGUAACGGCUUACCAAGGCGACGAUGCGUAGCCGACCUGAGAGGGUGAUCGGCCACACUGGAACUGAGACACGGUCCAGACUCCUACGGGAGGCAGCAGUAGGGAAUCUUCCGCAAUGGGCGAAAGCCUGACGGAGCAACGCCGCGUGAGUGAUGAAGGUCUUCGGAUCGUAAAACUCUGUUAUUAGGGAAGAACAAAUGUGUAAGUAACUAUGCACGUCUUGACGGUACCUAAUCAGAAAGCCACGGCUAACUACGUGC